UGGGGAAUUUUGGACAAUGGGCGAAAGCCUGAUCCAGCAAUGCCGCGUGUGUGAAGAAGGCCUUCGGGUUGUAAAGCACUUUUGUCCGGAAAGAAAUGGCUCUGGUUAAUACCUGGGGUCGAUGACGGUACCGGAAGAAUAAGGACCGGCUAACUACGUGCCAGCAGCCGCGGUAAUACGUAGGGUCCAAGCGUUAAUCGGAAUUACUGGGCGUAAAGCGUGCGCAGGCGGUUGUGCAAGACCGAUGUGAAAUCCCCGAGCUUAACUUGGGAAUUGAAUUGGUGACUGCACGGCUAGAGUGUUUCAGAGGGGGGUAGAAUUCCACGUGUAGCAGUGAAAUGCGUAGAGAUGUGGAGGAAUGCCGAUGGCGAAGGCAGCCCCCUGGGAUAACACGGACGCUCAUGCACGAAAGCGUGGGGAGCAAACAGG
rnacentral:rRNA from 1 species